CUUGGGGUCCGGAGAAAACCCGGUUCUAAUAUUCCACAUGAACAGUCGCUUUACAAAGCCUGUCUUAUUUACCCAGUAGUGGGAGUGAUUGAAAUAGGUUCCUUAAUUCACUUUUAACAUGAAAUUAAAAUAUUUUUGAAAUCAGUCAAAGGAGACCCGAGAAAAAAACUGAUUCAAAUGUUCUCCUCAGAUAGUCACUUAACAAAGCCUUUGGCAUUUGCCCAGUAGUGGCAGUGGUCAAAGUAGGUUCUUUACUUCACUCUUAACAUGAAAUCAAAAUAUUUUUGAAAUCAGUCCUUGGGGUCCGGAGAAAACCCGGUUCUAAUAUUCCACAUGAACAGUCGCUUUACAAAGCCAGUCUUAUUUACCCAGUAGUGGGAGUGAUUGAAAUAGGUUCCUUACUUCACUUUUAACAUGAAAUUAAAAUAUUUUUGAAAUCAGUCAAAGGAGACCCCGAGAAAAAAACUGAUUCAAAUGUUCUCCUCAGAUAGUCACUUAACAAAGCCUUUGGCAUUUGCCCAGUAGUGGGAGUGGUCAAAGUAGGUUCUUUACUUCACUCUUAACAUGAAAUCAAAAUAUUUUUGAAAUCAGUCCUUGGGGUCCGGAGAAAACCCGGUUCUAAUAUUCCACAUGAACAGUCGCUUUACAAAGCCAGUCUUAUUUACCCAGUAGUGGGAGUGAUUGAAAUAGGUUCCUUAAUUCACUUUUAACAUGAAAUUAAAAUAUUUUUGAAAUCAGUCAAAGGAGACCCGAGAAAAAAACUGAUUCAAAUGUUCUCCUCAGAUAGUCACUUAACAAAGCCUUUGGCAUUUGCCCAGUAGUGGCAGUGGUCAAAGUAGGUUCUUUACUUCACUCUUAACAUGAAAUCAAAAUAUUUUUGAAAUCAGUCCUUGGGGUCCGGAGGAAACCCGGUUCUAAUAUUCCACAUGAACAGUCGCUUUACAAAGCCAGUCUUAUUUACCCAGUAGUGGGAGUGAUUGAAAUAGGUUCCUUACUUCACUUUUAACAUGAAAUUAAAAUAUUUUUGAAAUCGGUCAAAGGAGACCCGAGAAAAAAACUGAUUCAAAUGUUCUCCUCAGAUAGUCACUUAACAAAGUCUUUGGCAUUUGCCCAGUAGUGGGAGUGGUCAAAGUAGGUUCUUUACUUCACUCUUAACAUGAAAUCAAAAUAUUUUUGAAAUCAGUCCUUGGGGUCCGGAGAAAACCCGGUUCUAAUAUUCCACAUGAACAGUCGCUUUACAAAGCCAGUCUUAUUUACCCAGUAGUGGGAGUGAUUGAAAUAGGUUCCUUACUUCACUUUUAACAUGAAAUUAAAAUAUUUUUGAAAUCGGUCAAAGGAGACCCGAGAAAAAAACUGAUUCAAAUGUUCUCCUCAGAUAGUCACUUAACAAAGCCUUUGGCAUUUGCCCAGUAGUGGCAGUGGUCAAAGUAGGUUCUUUACUUCACUCUUAACAUGAAAUCAAAAUAUUUUUGAAAUCAGUCCUUGGGGUCCGGAGAAAACCCGGUUCUAAUAUUCCACAUGAACAGUCGCUUUACAAAGCCAGUCUUAUUUACCCAGUAGUGGGAGUGAUUGAAAUAGGUUCCUUACUUCACUUUUAACAUGAAAUUAAAAUAUUUUUGAAAUCGGUCAAAGGAGACCCGAGAAAAAAACUGAUUCAAAUGUUCUCCUCAGAUAGUCACUUAACAAAGCCUUUGGCAUUUGCCCAGUACUGGGAGUGGU
rnacentral:lncRNA from 1 species